rnacentral:misc_RNA from 1 species
GAUGAAGAACGUAGCGAAAUGCGAUACGUAAUGUGAAUUGCAGAAUUCAGUGAAUCAUCGAAUCUUUGAACGCACAUGGCGCCUUCCAGUAUCCUGGGAGGCAUGCCUGUCCGAGCGUCGUUUCAACCCUCGAGCCCCCGUGGCCCGGCGUUGGGGAUCUGCCACGGCAGGCCCCUAAAACCAGUGGCGGACCCGAAGGCCCUCUCCUUUGCGCAGUAGCAUCAGCCUCGCAUUGGGAUCCCUCGGCGUCCUGCCUCUAAACCCCCCACAAGUCCGCUCCGGCGGCACCAAGGUUGACCUCGGAUCAGGUAGGAAUACCCGCUGAACUUAAGCAUAUCAAUAAGCGGAGGA